CAGCAGCCGCCGCGGGAAUACGUAGGGUGCAAGCGUUAAUCGGAAUUACUGGGCGUAAAGCGUGCGCAGGCGGUUAUAUAAGACAGAUGUGAAAUCCCCGGGCUCAACCUGGGAACUGCAUUUGUGACUGUAUAGCUAGAGUACGGCAGAGGGGGAUGGAAUUCCGCGUGUAGCAGUGAAAUGCGUAGAUAUGCGGAGGAACACCGAUGGCGAAGGCAAUCCCCUGGGCCUGUACUGACGCUCAUGCACGAAAGCGUGGGGAGCAAACAGGAUUAGAUACCCCGGUAGUCCCUGUCUCUUAUAC
rnacentral:rRNA from 1 species